CUUGAGGAGUCCCACAAUAGGACGAAACGGCCGUCAAG
rnacentral:hammerhead_ribozyme from 1 species